AUUGAACGCUGGCGGCAGGCCUAACACAUGCAAGUCGAGCGAGCGGCGGACGGGUGAGUAAUGUCUGGGGAUCUGCCCGAUAGAGGGGGAUAACUACUGGAAACGGUCGCUAAUACCGCAUACUAUCGGAUGUACCCAUAUGGGAUUAGCUAGUAGGUGGGGUAACGGCUCACCUAGGCGACGAUCCCUAGCGGGUCUGAGAGGAUGACCAGCCACACUGGGACGGAGACACGGCCCAGACUCCUACGGGAGGCAGCAGUGGGGAAUAUGGCACAAUGGGCGCAAGCCUGAGACAGCCAUGCCGCGUGUAUGAAGAAGGCCUUAGGGUUGUAAAGCACUUUCAGCGGGGAGGCGUUACCCGCAGAAGAAGCACCGGCUAACUCCGUGCCAGCAGCCGCGGUAAUAC
rnacentral:rRNA from 1 species